GAUGAACGCUGGCGGUCUGCUUAACACAUGCAAGUCGCACGGAAUCCUUAGGGAUUUAGUGGCGGACGGGUGAGUAACACGUAAGAACCUGCCUCUAGGACGGGGACAACAGUUGGAAACGACUGCUAAACCCGGAUGAGACGAACGGUAAAAGAUUUAUCGCCUAGAGAGGGGCUUGCGUCUGAUUAGCUAGUUGGUAGGGUAAAGGCUUACCAAGGCGACGAUCAGUAGCUGGUCUGAGAGGAUGAUCAGCCACACUGGGACUGAGACACGGCCCAGACUCCUGCAGGAGGCAGCAGUGGGGAAUUUUCCGCAAUGGGCGAAAGCCUGAUGGAGCAAGACCGCGUGGAGGAGGAAGGUUACUGGAUUGUCAACCCCUUUUCUCAGCGAAGAACGGUAUGACGGUACCUGAGGAAAAAGCAUCGGCUAACUCCGUGCCAGCAGCCGCGGUAAGAC
rnacentral:rRNA from 1 species